ACGGGUGAGUAACACGUAGGUAACCUGCCUUUAAGACUGGGAUAACUAUCGGAAACGAUAGCUAAGACCGGAUAACUGGUUUUCUCGCAUGAGAGAAUCAUGAAACACGGAGCAAUCUGUGGCUUGAAGAUGGGCCUGCGGCGCAUUAGCUAGUUGGUGAGGUAACGGCUCACCAAGGCGACGAUGCGUAGCCGACCUGAGAGGGUGAACGGCCACACUGGGACUGAGACACGGCCCAGACUCCUACGGGAGGCAGCAGUAGGGAAUCUUCCGCAAUGGACGCAAGUCUGACGGAGCAACGCCGCGUGAGUGAUGAAGGUUUUCGGAUCGUAAAGCUCUGUUGCCCUAGACGAACAGCAAGGAGAGUAACUGCUCUUUGUGUGACGGUAUAGGAGAAGAAAGCCCCGGCUAACUACGUGCCAGCAGCCGCGGUAAUACGUAGGGGGCAAGCGUUGUCCGGAAUUAUUGGGCGUAAAGCGCGCGCAGGCGGUCAUUUAAGUCUGGUGUUUAAUCCUGGGGCUCAACCCCAGUUCGCAUCGGAAACUGGAUGACUUGAGUGUAGGAGAGGAAAGUGGAAUUCCACGUGUAG
rnacentral:rRNA from 1 species